ACACAUGCAAGUCGAGCGAAGCACUUAACCGGAUCUCUUCGGAUUGAAACUUAUUUGACUGAGCGGCGGACGGGUGAGUAACGCGUGGGUAACCUGCCUCAUACAGGGGGAUAACAGUUAGAAAUGGCUGCUAAUACCGCAUAAGCGCACAGGACCGCAUGGUCUGGUGUGAAAAACUCCGGUGGUAUGAGAUGGACCCGCGUCUGAUUAGCUAGUUGGAGGGGUAACGGCCCACCAAGGCGACGAUCAGUAGCCGGCCUGAGAGGGUGAACGGCCACAUUGGGACUGAGACACGGCCCAGACUCCUACGGGAGGCAGCAGUGGGGAAUAUUGCACAAUGGGGGAAACCCUGAUGCAGCGACGCCGCGUGAAGGAAGAAGUAUCUCGGUAUGUAAACUUCUAUCAGCAGGGAAGAAAAUGACGGUACCUGACUAAGAAGCCCCGGCUAACUACGUGCCAGCAGCCGCGGUAAUACGUAGGGGGCAAGCGUUAUCCGGAUUUACUGGGUGUAAAGGGAGCGUAGACGGAAGAGCAAGUCUGAUGUGAAAGGCUGGGGCUUAACCCCAGGACUGCAUUGGAAACUGUUUUUCUAGAGUGCCGGAGGGGUAAGCGGAAUUCCUAGUGUAGCGGUGAAAUGCGUAGAUAUUAGGAGGAACACCAGUGGCGAAGGCGGCUUACUGGACGGGUAACUGACGUUGAGG
rnacentral:rRNA from 1 species